rnacentral:rRNA from 1 species
UGGGCGGGACGGGUGAGUAACGCGUGGGUAACCUCGCCUCAUACAGGGGGAUAACAGGUGGAAACGGCUGCUAAUACCGCAUAAGCGCACAGUACCGCAUGGUACGGUGUGAAAAACUCCGGUGGUAUGAGAUGGACCCGCGUCUGAUUAGGUAGUUGGUGGGGUAACGGCCUACCAAGCCGACGAUCAGUAGCCGACCUGAGAGGGUGACCGGCCACAUUGGGACUGAGACACGGCCCAA